rnacentral:rRNA from 1 species
CAGCAGCCACGGUAAUACGAAGGGGGCUAGCGUUGUUCGGAAUUACUGGGCGUAAAGCGCACGUAGGCGGAUAUUUAAGUCAGGGGUGAAAUCCCAGAGCUCAACUCUGGAACUGCCUUUGAUACUGGGUAUCUUGAGUAUGGAAGAGGUGAGUGGAAUUCCGAGUGUAGAGGUGAAAUUCGUAGAUAUUCGGAGGAACACCAGUGGCGAAGGCGGCUCACUGGUCCAUUACUGACGCUGAGGUGCGAAAGCGUGGGGAGCAAACAGGAUUAGAUACCCCCGUAGUCCCUGUCUCUUAUAC